rnacentral:tRNA from 1 species
GCGAGUGUGGCGGAAUAGGUAGACGCGUUGGACUUAAAAUCCAAUUCCAGUUUUUGGAGUGUCGGUUCAAUUCCGACCAUUCGCA